CUCCGUCUGGACUCGAGGCUUCUGUCACAACCAUGCUCCGCCUAAUCAUCGGUCAGGCCAAGAAGCAUCUUAGCUUGAUCCCCCUCUUCAUAUUUAUUGAAGCGGGAGGUACUGGAGCAACACUGUAUGUCUUGCGCCAGGCAUUGUUCAAUCCAGAUGUCAGUUGGGACAGAAAGAGUAACCCAGAACCCUGGAAAAAACUGGGUCCCAAUGAUCAGUACAAGUUCUACUCAGUGAAUGUAGAUUACAGCAAAUUGAAGAAAGAAGGUCCAGACUUCUAAAUGAAAUGUUUCAUUAUAAAGCUGCUUAGAAUGAAGGUCUUCCAGAAGCCAUCUGCACAAUUUUCCACUUAACCAGGAAACAUUUCCCCUCUAAAUGCACGA